GAGGUGCACACAACGGGAAGGUGUCCAGUCUGAGCCGAGCUGGGACUUCGACGAGGCAGCCGCGCGUCGGACGAGGCGCCGGCGUAGGUGGCUGGUCUCGUGGUCUCCCAUGUGGCGGGCGAGCAGAGGAGGUCGGGGGGGAGGGCUGGCGGCCGCUACUCGCCGCCUGAAGGCCCAAAGGCAUGCGUUGGAUAGCGGGGACUAAUGAAAGGGGAUUUUGACUUAGCUUCAGAGCUAAGGGGAGAACCGAAAGGAAGAGGAACGAACAGAUGACGACAUCGAGCGUCGUAGCCAUCACGCUAGACUGGUCGUCCGGGCUAAACGAGACGACGUCUGUUACGCGGCCACAGCUCCCGGCACCAGCAGCGGCGGCGCGAGAAGAGGCAGGGCAAGCCGGAGGCGAGGGCGAAGGAGCUGGAUCCGGACAGGGUGGUCUUAGAAAUGUUUUUAGACGCCUAUACCUCCCACUAACGGAGCAACAAACGGAAGAGCAGUAGCGGACUCGAGUAGAAACCCCACCGGAACGAGAUGAUGAAGUCCCACAAGCUCGCAGUCUAUCCAAGUUUGUUCAUACGACACAAGUAUCAGAAGAGGUACUGCCACAGACAUGACGAAGUCUAGGAUCGAAAUCCAAUAGACUUUCUAGGUAGAAAGUUAGGUAAUUGUAGACCUGGUAUACCGGAGUAUAAACGUAGAAUACAUGGGAAGAAGAAACUGUAAGGGUAGAGUUGUUUCAAAGCGUAUAAACCUGACGUUAAUACACUGUUCAGUAAGCAUAUAAACCGUCCCGAGGUCGAAGAAAAGAGUAGACCUUCUGCAAGACAAUAUGGACCUGACAGACCAUAUAACCGACCCGAAAACAUGGCAGACUUAUAUAAACCAUAGGCGUCCGAUUUCCAGGGUCUCAUACAUUGAAGUAACAAAAGUGCCAAUAGUACCGGGAAGAGAUUGUUGAGAAUAGUUUCUAACGGUUAACGUUGUUGACUACUCUUGUAAGGAGUAGCGGUCUGAGUAGUUUACGUCCCGUGCGUGUGUUGAUGGGGUCUAGGUUGCCUCAGCAGUUAACAGUGCGAACAAAGGUACCCAAAACUGGGACGAAGACGUUAAGUCCGAGAACGUGACUGUUUAUUACUGCAUUUAAAUCGGAGCUUGUAGGACGAACUUCGUGUUAGCUGUAUCUUUGUUGUAGGGUCCGACUUCUGGCUAUGAAACAUUUACACUUCGUACAUCAAUUGCAUAAGAAGACCAAGUCUGAUAAAAGUCCUAAACAAUUAAACUUUUGAUGUAAGGUGCAUUCAAUCUUGUACCUUUUUGUUGCGUACCCUUGAGGGACGAUCUGACCACGCAACACAUUAUAUAGAGACAAACCCUUGAGUCGAUAUGACGUUUACUCAAUACGUAUCGUAUUUUUUACGUAGGAGGAUGGGUC
rnacentral:rRNA from 1 species